CGCAGUAGUCAUAUGCUUGUCUCAAAGCUUAAGCCAUGCAAGUCUCAGUACAGACUAUAUUAAAGUGAAACCGCAAAAGGCUCAGUAAACCAGUUUUAAUUUACUAGAGUUAACUUGACUGUGCUUGGAUAACUGUGGUAAUUCUAGAGCUAAUACAUGCAACAAAGCCGUGACCAUUCGUGGUCAGGGCGCUUUUAUUAGACCAAGACCAAUCGCCCGGCCAGUCCGGGCGUUAAGUUGAGGAACCUAGAUAACACAGCAGAUCGCAUGGUCUUUGUACCGGCGACCUAUCUUUCAAAUGCCUGACUUAUCAACUGACGAUGGUAGACUCUGUGUCUACCAUGGCUGUUACGGGUAACGGGGAAUCAGGGUUCGAUUCCGGAGAGGGAGCCUGAGAAACGGCUACCACAUCCAAGGAAGGCAGCAGGCACGCAAAUUACCCACUCCCGGAACGGGGAGGUAGUGACAAAAAAUAACGAUACGGGACUCGAUAUGAGGCCUCGUAAUCGGAAUGAGUACACUCUAAAUCCUUUAACAAAAAUCUAUUGGAGGGCAAGUCUGGUGCCAGCAGCCGCGGUAAUUCCAGCUCCAAUAGCGUAUAUUAAAGUUGUUGCGGUUAAAAAGCUCGUAGUUGGUUCUGCGUCCCGCGCUGUCGGUACACCGUUUGUCGGUGACACUGGCAUGACGCGGGAUGUCCUGUCGGUGGCGGCGGAGACCAUAUCGCCGUCGGCUAACACCGCGGCGUGUUGGCCUUCUGUCGCCGGCUUUAUCCUACCGCGGUGCUCUUCACUGAGUGUCGAGGUAGGCCGACACGUUUACUUUGAACAAAUUAGAGUGCUUAAAGCAGGCAAAAAUCUCUGCCAGAAUAGUGGUGCAUGGAAUAAUGGAACAGGACCUUGGUUCUAUUCUGUUGGUCUCCGGAACACAAGGUAAUGAUCAAUGUGGACAGGCGGGGGCAUUCGUAUUGCGGCGUUAGAGGUGAAAUUCUUGGAUCGUCGCAAGACGCACUAGAGCGAAAGCAAUUGCCAAGUAUGUCUUAAUUGAUCAAGAACGAAAGUUAGAGGUUCGAAGGCGAUCAGA
rnacentral:rRNA from 1 species